UGCAGGUGGGAUGGAAGUGAACCAUACAAUAGAAGUAGAGUUGGGGGUUUAGGUUUCGGUAGUAACAGAAGGCAUUGGGAGAAACAGGGAUCGUUUGACAACAGAGGGCGUUGAAGCGAGCGUAGGGCUCAAUCAUCAAGACAAUGAAGAUGAACAA